CAGCAGCCGCGGGAAAACGUAGGCCCCGAGCGUUGUCCGGAUUUAUUGGGCGUAAAGCGAGCGCAGGCGGUUAGAUAAGUCUGAAGUUAAAGGCUGUGGCUUAACCAUAGUACGCUUUGGAAACUGUUUAACUUGAGUGCAAGAGGGGAGAGUGGAAUUCCAUGUGUAGCGGUGAAAUGCGUAGAUAUAUGGAGGAACACCGGUGGCGAAAGCGGCUCUCUGGCUUGUAACUGACGCUGAGGCUCGAAAGCGUGGGGAGCAAACAGGAUUAGAUACCCGAGUAGUCCCUGUCUCUUAUACC
rnacentral:rRNA from 1 species